GGGGUCGAUUUUGGAUUCGACGGGAUUCUUGAAACCCAAGGUGCAUGCCGAGGUGCGGUUGGCCUCGUAAAAAAGCCGCAUUUUAAUAGUCGCAAACGACGAAAACUACGCAAUCGCCGCCUAAAUAGCGGUUAGAUCGCCUACCUCCAACCCCCCGCCUAUUGGGUGAGGAAUCAGGUAGUCAAGCCAUAUAGGAUCGCGUGGCGUCUUCUCCAGUAGACAAAGCGUUAAAACUAAUCUGGAUCGCCCUAGCAAAGCCUGCCGCUCGGCGCUGCGAAGGGUUAACUAAAAGAGUCGGCUAAGCAUGUAGUACCGAGGAUGUAGGUUUUUCGGACGGGGGUUCAACUCCCCCCGACUCCACCA
rnacentral:tmRNA from 1 species